AACGAACGCUGGCGGCAGGCCUAACACAUGCAAGUCGAGCGAGGACUUCGGUCCUAUCGGCGGACGUGUGAGUAACGCGUGGGAACGUGCCCUUUGCUUCGGAAUAGCCCUGGGAAACUGAGAGUAAUACCGGAUGAGCCCUUUGGGGGCAAGAUUAAUCGGCCAAGGAUCGGCCCGCGUUGGAUUAGGUAGUUGGUGGGGUUAUGGCCUACCAAGCGGAAGAUCCAUAGCUGGUUUGAGAGGAUGCUCAGCCACACUGGGACUGAGACACGGCCCAGACUUGUGCGGGAGGCAGCAGGGGGGUAUACUAGCCAAGGCGGGAAAGCCUGAGGUAGCCAUGCUGCGUGAGCGAUCAAGGCCUUAGGGUCGUAAAGUCCUUUCAGCUGGGCAGAUAAUGUCGGUACCAGCAGAAGAAGCCCGGGAUAACCUCGUG
rnacentral:rRNA from 1 species